UACGUAGGGCGCAAGCGUUGUCCGGAAUUAUUGGGCGUAAAGAGCUCGUAGGCGGUUUGUCGCGUCGUUCGUGAAAACUCACAGCUCAACUGUGAGCUUGCGGUCGAUACGGGCAGGCUAGAGUUCGGGAGAGGAGAGUGGAAUUCCCAGUGUAGAGGUGAAAUUCGUAGAUAUUGGGAAGAACACCGGUGGCGAAGGCGGCUCUCUGGACCGAUACUGACGCUGAGGCGCGAAAGCGUGGGGAGCAAACAGG
rnacentral:rRNA from 1 species